rnacentral:tRNA from 1 species
GAAGAUUUAGUUAAUUCAUAACAUUAGAUUGUCAAACUAAAAUUAUCAAUAAUGAUACUCUUCU